GUCAAUAUGGAGCCUGGUUUGCUUUUAGAAUCUUCCCAAGGCCGAUGGGCUUCCUCUUCCCUCCUGACCAGAGGCUUUGAUGCCCCUGCCCUGGGCUGCCUGGUUCCUGCCCCGAGUCUUCAGAAAGAUCCCCGGGCCUGGAGACUGUGAGUUCAGGUUCAGAUGCCUUGCGUGGCCUGUGAAUCCUGGGUCUGGUCUCUGUCCCCAGGCCGGUGUUCAGGGACCACCUUGAGCACCAAAGGCAGCCCAGUCCGGCUUUGACUCAGCUCCCAGGGCGGAGUCCCUUGCCCAGCACUGGGCAGGAGGAGGGCAUCCUCAGGGCAAGGUCUGCCAUCAGCAGACCAGAGCCAGAGCCCGCAGCCCCUGAGCACUUUCAGAUUCCUGCAGCGCAGAGAGGUUUUCCGGGAGGGAAGGGAGGACCCUGUGGCUGGAGAAAUCCCGCCGCGAACACCCAGCGACCAGGUCUACAGCAGCACCAGGUCUGUGCUUCCCCCUGGUGGUCACAGAUUUUACUACACGCGGCCCACAAGUAAAAUGAGUUUCUCUUCAGUGGCCCGGUUAUCUUCUGUCGUGUAGGAGGAAGUCCAGAGCCACGGAAAUUCGGAAAAGAAAAUGGUUCUUUUCCUGGUCCAGGAGCCAAUAUCCAACCUGGGGUUUCACAUUUCAUUUUGCUGUCAUGUCUCUCUGUCUUUCUUCUGUCUGGAACAGUUCAUCAGCCUUUUUGUUUUUAACUUUUAUGACCUUGACUUUUAGAGUACAGGACAUUUACUUUGUGGACUGCCAUUCAAUUUGACAACAGAUUUGUUUUUAAUGUGCACUUUCUGGAAACAAGAUAUUGUUCCUCAAAGAAAUGAAAAAAAUGUUGGGAAUACAUAAGACAUCAUAACAGACACCAGCCUGAGUCGAAGCUGUUAAAGAGGCCAAGAAUUCCCAAGCUUUCCCAGGCAAACGGGGAAGAACACUGGGAUGCCUUUUCCUCCUCCUCUGUCCAUCUGCAGGCCAAGUGUGCAUCAGUCACAGGCAAACUCUGAAUUGAGCUUUGUGCAAGUCUCUGGAAAGAGACCCAAGAUCGUGUGAUGAGCAAAAGUGACAGUGCUGGAGGCAGCGACAUCUGCAGAGCCAGCCCCAUCCCUAUCUGCAGCAGAAUAUGUAUGGGGAUCCUUUAUGUGAACAAUCCACCCAGGGUAGAAUGGGGCUUUUGACAUCAGCUGAGACCCAGGCGGCCUUACAAUGAGAGGGCUGUUGGUCAAAGGAAGGACUGUUUAAUGAACUGAGAAUCUGAGGCCAGCUCUGGCCAUCUGCACUUGGAAUCAUUAGAGCAACUCUACUGUAACUGGCAACCUUGAAUAAUGCAGCAAAUUCAUAUUCCAAAAUUGUGAACUUUAAAAUUUUGUGUUUGUGUCUAUGAUGAAAAGCAUUAUAUAAACAUUUGAUACUACAAUUUUAUUAGUAAGGAAGGCUGAAAAAGUAUCUCUCUUUUGACUCUGAGGUCAAUAAUGAUAAUGGCUUUUCCCCUACACUGGGAUAGAAAUGUUCUGUCAAGGAUAUGAAAACACUUUAUGAAAAUGAAAUUCAUUAAAGCCCUUAAUAAUCAGGUAGGGAAGGCAGGUGCUCACAAUUGUCACCUGUUGGUGAGUGAACACCUUAGGCUCGGGGAGGACAAUGACUCAAGAACAAGGUCGAAUUGCAGGUGGGGGGUGAAGCUGAUCCCUAACAGUGUCCUCCAGCCCCUGGCACUGAGGAAGGACAUGGAGGGCUUGCAUCGACUUUUCCUGGCAGGCUUGUGAUUCCCAGCCAGAAUGCAGGUGGCAAUGUUGUGAUUCCUGGCGUAACCUUCAAUGCUUCAAUGAUAAUCUCUGCUGGUGCCAGGCACCAGCUGAGUGUCACUGUGCAGCUCCCAGGCUUAAGUGAUGCAUGCCGAGGUUUUCAGAGCAGUCUCUCAUUUAUUAGUUGUGUUGGAAAGAAAUCUGUACUACCUAACUGGGUACCUCUGGAUUUUAACAGCUGUGGUUUAUAAGAGAUAUGAGAGGGGGUUUGUUUUCAAAGUGCCUUUCACAAAGUAACACCUUAGACUGUAGUUUACAUUCCAUUCCAGUAGGAUAACUUGCAACACUUCUGUGCUCAGAAAUCCAACUGUGCAAGAAAAGUCAGGUUAUAUUUUCAUACAGCCCGUUCUGGCAAAUAUGCCUUCACACCACUUUCCCUCCUCCUCACCGCUAUUGGCAAUAGUCCCAAUGGAAGAGUUUUAUGUCAAAUGCUGAGUAUCUUGGAAGCUGUCCUGCACAGACACGACUGCUUGGCUGCGUGUUGGAGAGUCGCGGUUGGACUGGGAGACCAGGAAGGUCCCUUCUGGUCUGAGAUGUGAUGACUCUAGAACUAAUUAGUUUCAACUCAUAACACGAAAUGAUACUAGCUACCAUUUGGUGGGCUUUUUCUGUGUUCCAGGCUCUGUGCUAAGAUCUUAGCAUUACUCUAAUUACAAAAUCCCUGCCAAUAUUAUCCUCAGUUUACGCAAGAACAAAUGGGUUUAGGGAAAUCAAAAACUUGUCCAAUGACACAGAUUUAAGAUUUAGCAACUGAUGGCCACGUGGAAAUGGAUUACAGAUUAUUCUAAUUGGACACUCUAAACGUGCAAUUUAACCAGAAUGAAAUUUAGGGCUGCGUGCUGUGGCUCAUGCCUGUAAUCCUAGCACUUUGGGAAGCCAGGUGUAUCCCUUAAGCCCAGGAGUUUGAGAGCAACUUGGGCAACAUGGUGAAACCUGUAUCUACAAAAAAUACAAAAAUUAGCCAGGUGAGGUGGUGUAUGCCUGUAGUUCCAGCUACUUGGGAGGCUGAGAGAUGGGAGGAUUGGUUGAGCCUAGGAGGUCGAGGCUGCUGUGAGCUGUGAUGGUUCCACUGCACUCCAGCCUGGGCGACAGAGACAGACUCCAUCUCAAAAAAAAAAAAAAAAAAAGUAGCUACCUUGUGGUUGCACUCGUCUGAGACUAGCUCAUGGCUCCAGCUCUCAGGGUGGUGAGUAAUGAUUCUGUGGUCAGACGCAGUUUUGAAGUCAGGCAAGAAAACCUUCAACAAGAGUUAGAGAUGUCCUGUCUAUGAAUUUCUCCUCUAGGCUUAGGGAUAGCCCUGGGAUUCAUGUCAUGCCAGUUAGGGAUCCACUCAUUGUAAGCAAUACAAGUGCCCCCGAAGAGACAGUGCAUUAAUUGUCACCCCUUAGGAGCAUUGUGUGAAUUAGUGUGAUUUAGCACAUGCCCAGAGGGAUGAAACUCUAGCUCCAUAGGGUAGGUCCUGAUUACUCCUGGAGCAGGCAGCCAGCUCAGCUCAUGGGGAGCUCUGAGAAGUCUCUCAAUGCCUCGCAUGCAGCCCCUGCUCAGGAGUCAUGUGUCACUUCACAGUCUUGCUUUCCAGUGGGUCAAAGCAUGAUGUUUAUGAGAAACAAAUACACAAAAUUCUGACUUGUGUGAAUACAGAACACGUGCAAUAAAACGACUGCAAUCUAUUUUUAAAAUGUGGUCUGAGAAGUCAGGUUUAAUAUGACUAUGUAAUAUAUAAACAAUAUAUUUUCCACAGAAAGGAAAAUAUAAAUAAUAAAAUAUGUCUAUUUCUUUUUUUUGGUGGAAAAUUACUCCCACAAUUUGGUCCCAAGGGGGUCUUAAUUUGUCAUCAGGUCUGUGGCUAAAUGUCUUAUAAAGGAAUGCUUCUUUCUUUCGAGAAGUGUACAGGAACAGUCUGCACUGACUGCUUUUACCUGUAAAUGUUUUGAGAAUUCAGAAGUCACUUUCCUUCCACAAUAGGUGCUAGGCAUUUUAUUUAAAUAAAGCAAAAACAUUUCUGUCAUAAAGAAGGUGUUAAUAACCUCAAAGCUAUGCGAAAUAUACUAGUACAAUCUAAUACUCAUGGUGAAAAAUACAGUAAUUAAGAGCAAUUCAAGUUUUUUUGUUUUGGUUUAACUUCAGAAUUAAAAUAAACUCAGAAUUAAAAAAAUAAAAAAUGGUUUUAUUACAUGUCAGAGUAUUGAGAUACAAAAUAUAUACCAGAU
rnacentral:lncRNA from 10 species